rnacentral:rRNA from 1 species
UACGGAGGGUGCGAGCGUUGUCCGGAAUCAUUGGGCGUAAAGGGCGCGUAGGUGGCCCGGUCAGUUCGUGGUGAAAGCGCGGGGCUCAACCCUGCGUCGGCCAUGAAUACUGCCGCGGCUGGAGCACUGUAGAGGCAGGCGGAAUUCCGGGUGUAGCGGUGGAAUGCGUAGAGAUCCGGAAGAACACCGGUGGCGAAGGCGGGUCUACUGGGCCGUAACUGACGCUGAGGAGCGAAAGCGUGGGAGCGAACAGG